AGAGUUUGAUCAUGGCUCAGAGCGAACGCUGGCGGCAGGCUAACACAUGCAAGUCGAGCGGCCGUAGCAAUACGGCAGCGGCAGACGGGAGAGUAACACGUGGGAACNNNCCUUCGGUUCGGAAUAACUCAGGGAAACUUGGGCUAAUACCGGAUACGCCCUUACGGGGAAAGAUUUAUGCCGAAGGANNGGCCCGCGUCCGAUUAGCUGUUGGUGAGGUAACGGCUCACCAAGGCGACGAUCGUAGCUGGUCUGAGAGGAGNNCAGCCUCACUGGGACUGAGACACGGCCCAGACUCCUACGGGAGGCAGCAGUGGGGAAUAUUGGACAAUGGGCGCAAGCCUGAUCCAGCCAUGCCGCGUGAGUGAUGAAGGCCCUAGGGUUGUAAAGCUCUUUCNNCGGGAAAGAUAAUGACGGUACNNNNAGAAGAAGCCCCGGCUAACUUCGUGCCAGCAGCCGCGGUAAUACGAAGGGGGCUAGUGUUGCUCGGAAUUACUGGGCGUAAAGGNNCGUAGGCGGAUGUUAAGUCGGGGGUGAAAUCCUGGAGCUCAACUCCAGAACUGCCUUCGAUACUGCGAUCUCGAGUUCGGGAGAGGUGAGUGGAACUGCGAGUGUAGAGGUGAAAUUCGUAGAUAUUCGCAAGAACACCAGUGGCGAAGGCGGCUCACUGGCCCGAUACUGACGCUGAGGNNCGAAAGCGUGGGGAGCAAACAGGAUUAGAUACCCUAGUAGUCC
rnacentral:rRNA from 1 species